UUUUUGUUCAAGGUAUUUUCAUUGGCAAAACCCCUUUUAAGACAUGCACAUCCGGAUAAAGAAUUGGCCAAAGAAUUGCAUAAGUUGAAGCGAAAUCUCUAUAAG